rnacentral:rRNA from 1 species
ACGGCCUCAGAUCAGGUAGGA